rnacentral:lncRNA from 1 species
AAAACUAAUCUUAAAAUCUGCAUAUUUCUUUCAAAAACAUUUCUUAGAUAUAGUUUUAUAUAUACUUUUCUCCAUCAAAAGCUGCAAUGUUAAUCUCAUUAUUGCACUUUUUCCGGGCAUUGUUGACAACAUUAUAUCUCACAUGUUAAUCUCAUUAUUGAGAAGUCACAUGGCUUGAAAAUUCUUAAAGAAAAUUAAAGGAAAAAUGGAAUAAAAGAUGAACCAAAAUGGUGAUGAACUUCCACUAUUGGCAUAGUAAUAACUCCUCAUUCUGUCUUCUUCCCCCCACAUAUUGCCCACACCAGUUCAUACAUUAUAUACAUUUACAUAAUUAAGUUGUAUAAUUAAGGGUAUCAUGUUUUUAAUAUUGAUUUUGGUUAGAUAUUUGUACCAUAUUCUAUAAUUCAUGCUCAUAACCCCACAAAUACGUGGACAUGUAGUAGGAAAUACAAAGCUAAAUUUGGAUUAUUCUUUAUCACAAACUACCAAAAGGUUAUGUUCAAAAACAUCAUAAAAGAAAUGAUUAAAAAUCAAAUAUAUAUCUUCAUUCUUAAACCUCAAAAAGAAAAAGAAUCAAUUAGUGGAACAAAAUCUCACAAUGUUACAAUAGCUACAAUCAAAGGAUUUGAAGAAAUAUCAUAAACCACUUUGGAUCCAUAAUGCAUAAUACUCAAAAUACAAUAUAUAUUCACUUUCCAUUCCCUCUAAAAACAACUUGAAAUUAAAAUGAAAAUAAAUGCAAAAAGCAUUUUGGAGUUACUUUUGUCAAAUGAGGCAACUCAGCUAGGGCUGCUAAGAGGAAAUGACAUAGGAAUAGGACACAACAUUUUACCCUACCCAUCUCUUCUAAUCAUUCAAAAUUUGUCAAGAUGCUUCUAACCAUUUUGCGUAUAUUUUAAUUAGUGGUUGAAGAUUGAAACAGUGACUGAUUCUAACUAUUUGGAGUAAAACAAAGUAAUGGGAGAGAAGUGGCCAGCUGGGAAACAUAAUAUAAUGCAAUUACAUCAAAAUGAAACCAAUUGAAUAUUUGAAUUGGUCCUUCAUGAUGGCUACCCUUUAACAAUUCAAUCACAUUAUAAAUACUUAGUCUCUCAUUUAGCUUUUCACAAUAAUCACUUACACCAAAACAUCUUCUUUUCUUCCAAACUUUUCUUCUACUUCUAAGAAUAUUAGGGAGGUUAAGUAAUAACAUAAGCAUUGGAGGUGCCAAGUUUUUUCUUUCUACCCAUGACUGUUAAGGCCAGUAGCCCCAAAAGGGGUCAUAACUGGCCACCAAUGGCAAUGGCAUUGGCCAUUGUUUUGAUUUCAACUAGUGUGGUUUCUGCUGCUGCAGAUAGUUAUAUUUACUCUUCUCCUCCACCACCUUACGAGUAUAAGUCGCCACCGCCACCAUCACCUUCACCACCACCUCCUUAUGUUUACAAAUCGCCACCUCCUCCAUCCCCAUCACCUCCACCACCUUAUGAGCACAAGGCUCCUGCUUAUGAGUACAAGUCACCACCACCACCAACUCCUUCACCACCACCUCCUUAUGUGUACAAGUCACCACCACCGCCAUCUCCUUCACCACCACCUCCUUAUGUGUACAAGUCACCACCACCACCCUCACCUUCCCCACCACCACCAUACUACUACAAGAGUCCUCCACCACCUUCUCCUUCACCUCCACCUCCUUACUACUACAAAUCUCCUCCACCACCCUCACCUUCCCCACCACCACCAUACUAUUACAAGUCUCCUCCACCACCAUCUCCCUCACCUCCACCACCAUAUUACUACAAGUCUCCCCCACCACCCUCACCCUCCCCUCCACCCCCAUAUAUACACAAGGAUCCACCAUACUAUUACAAGUCCCCACCACCACCUUCACCAUCUCCUCCACCACCAUACUACUACAAAUCUCCCCCACCCCCUUCACCGUCUCCUCCACCACCAUACUACUACAAAUCUCCUCCUCCUCCAUCUCCUAUUCCCAAAACACCUUACUACUACAAAUCUCCCCCACCCCCUUCACCAUCUCCUCCACCACCAUACUACUACAAAUCUCCCCCACCCCCUUCACCGUCUCCUCCACCACCAUACUACUAUAAAUCUCCCCCACCACCGUCACCCUCUCCACCACCACCUUACUAUUACAAGUCUCCUCCCCCACCUUCACCAUCUCCUCCACCACCAUACUACUACAAAUCUCCUCCUCCUCCAUCUCCUAUUCCCCAUACACCUUACUAUUACAAAUCUCCCCCACCACCUUCACCAUCUCCUCCACCACCAUACUACUACAAAUCUCCUCCUCCUCCAUCUCCUAUUCCCCGUACACCUUACUAUUACAAAUCUCCCCCACCACCUUCACCAUCUCCUCCACCACCAUACUACUACAAAUCCCCUCCUCAUCCAUCUCCCAUUCCCCAUACACCUUACUAUUACACAUCUCCCCCACCACCUUCACCGUCUCCUCCACCACCAUAUUACUACAAAUCUCCUCCCCCUCCGUCUCCUAUUCCCCACACACCUUACUACUACAAGUCCCCACCACCACCAAAGGUCCUUCCACCACCAUACUAUUACAAUUCUCCUCCUCCACCUGUUGUGUAUCCUCACCCAUAUCCCUACCACCACUCACUUAUUGUGAGGGUAGUCGGUAAAGUCUACAGCUUCAGAUGUUAUGAUUGGAAUUAUCCUGCAAAGUCUCAUAACAAGAAACAUCUCAAAGGUACAUUACAUUUCUUAGGACCGGACCUCUUUAGAGUAAUGUGUUUAGAGAUAAUGCACAAUUUUUUAUUUUUUUAUCUCGUAAAGGUUUAUUUAUUAUAAUCACAAUUUCACUUUUGUCAAAAAGAAAAACAAUUUUACUAUAUAUAGUUUUAAUCAUUAACAUUUUGAUGUAAAAAGAAUACAAUUCUCUAUUACCUUUUUACUAUGAUAUAUAUACAAAGAUUAUUCAAAUCUAUAUAUCCAACCUAAUUUCCAUCCAAAAAAAUAGAAAACAUAGGGUGCUUUGAACGCCUGCAGCAUCACAUGAAUAAAUAAAAACAAUCAAUAAUCAACCUUGUUCUAAUUUAUUUUAGACAGCGAUUGUUAAGCAUACUGCUCUUUUAAUUACAUUUUUUUUAAAGAUGCUCUUUUAAUUAUAUUGUCCUAAUAUAAUAUGUGUCUUUAUAUAUUACUUGUCGUAAACUAAUUUUAUUAUGGGUGCAGGAGCUGUUGUUGAGGUGACAUGCAAAGCCGGGAGCAAAAUUGUCAAGGCUUAUGGAAAAACUAAGAACAAUGGAAAGUAUGCCAUCACAGUUAAGGACUUUGACUAUGUCAAAUAUGGUUCGACAGUGUGCAAGGCUGCCCUAUAUGCUCCACCUAAGGGUUCACCCUUCAACAUACCUACAAAGCUAAAUCAAGGAACAAAGUUGUACUUGAAAUCCAAAGACAAGUACGAGGUUGUGCUCAAGGCUAAGCCAUUUGCUUAUGCUUCAAAGAAACAUUUCAAAGAAUGUGAGAAGCCUAAGCCUUCACCAACUCCUUACUACUACAAAUCACCUCCACCUCCCUCACCAGUUUACAAAUACAACUCACCACCUCCACCGGUCCAUUAUUAUUCACCUCCAUACACCUACAAGUCACCUCCUCCCCCUGUGAAAGCGGCACCAACUCCUUACUACUACAAAUCACCUCCACCACCCGCACCGGUUUACAAGUACAACUCACCCCCUCCACCGGUCCAUUAUUAUUCACCACCAUAUACCUAUAAGUCACCUCCUCCCCCUGUGAAAGCGGCACCAACUCCUUACUACUACAAAUCACCUCCACCUCCCGCACCGGUUUACAAGUACAACUCCCCACCUCCACCGGUCCAUUAUUAUUCACCUCCAUAUACCUACAAGUCACCUCCUCCCCCUGUGAAAGUGGCACCAACUCCUUACUACUACAAAUCACCUCCACCACCCGCACCGGUUUACAAGUACAACUCACCACCUCCACCGGUCCAUUAUUAUUCUCCACCAUACUACUACAAGUCACCACCCCCACCAUCUCCAUCACCUCCUCCACCAUACUAUUUCAAAUACUAUUACAAGUCCCCACCUCCACCAUCACCAUCCCCUCCUCCACCUUAUUAUUACAAAUCUCCUCCUCCACCAAAACAAAUUUCACACCCUCCAUACUACUAUAAGUCACCACCCCCACCAUCACCAUCACCUCCUCCACCAUACUAUUAUAAGUCUCCACCUCCACCAUCACCAUCUCCCCCACCACCUUAUUAUUAUAAGUCACCACCCCCACCAUCCCCGUCCCCUCCUCCACCAUACUACUACAAGUCUCCACCUCCACCUAAAGAAAUAUCACAUCCUCCAUAUAACUAUAAGUCACCACCCCCACCAUCACCAUCCCCUCCCCCUCCAUACUAUUACAAAUCUCCUCCACCACCAUCACCAUCACCACCACCUCCCUACUAUUACAAAUCACCUCCACCACCAUCACCAUCACCUCCCCCUCCAUACUAUUACAAAUCUCCUCCACCACCAUCACCAUCACCACCACCUCCUUACUAUUACAAAUCACCUCCACCACCAUCCCCAUCACCACCACCUCCAUACUACUACAAAAGUCCCCCUCCACCAUCUCCAUCUCCUCCAUCCCCAUAUUACUACAAAUCUCCACCACCACCAUCACCAUCCCCACCCCCUCCCUACUAUUACAAAUCACCUCCACCUCCCUCACCAUCACCGCCACCUCCUUACUAUUACAAAUCACCUCCACCUCCCUCACCAUCACCGCCACCUCCUUACUAUUACAAAUCUCCCCCACCUCCAUCUCCAUCUCCACCACCUCCUUACCACUAUCAAAGUCCUCCUCCACCAUCUCCCAUUUCUCAUCCUCCCUACUACUACAAAUCCCCUCCACCACCAUCGCCGUCUCCUCCACCUCCUUACCACUAUGUGAGUCCUCCCCCACCAGUAAAGUCACCUCCACCACCAACUUAUAUCUAUGCUUCACCACCACCACCUCACUACAACUAAGCUCAAAGAGCAGAAGCUCCGUUCAUUAUAAAUCAUGUAAGUUUAUCAUCUUCAAUUUUCUGAAUGUGUGCGUGUGUAUUUGUUUUUUUGUUACAAGAUACUAACAAAAUUCUUUUCUUAUUUAUGUUCAGGUUUUAGUUUUCAUCUAGGAAUAAAGGCAAGCUCCAUUUGGAGUAAAGUGAAACUUCUAGCUUCGUGUCCGAAUUCGUUAAAUAAAUGUCGGGAUGUAUCGUCUUUGAGCUAUAAUAUUUCUGAUCCAGACAAUAUCUAUUUUGUUUCUUUGGUGGCAAUCUUGCACUUCCUGGUCUUAGUCUAUUCAAGUGACAGACAAAUCAAAAGGGAGAAGCGAGAUUAAUUUAUUUGUGAUCUCUUUGAUUUAUUUGUGCAUAUAUCAAUAUGAACGUGUAUGAUAUUUUUCUAUUUAUUGAAGAUUUUUUUACUGUAACCUGUUAUUGUGUUUGUCAAAAGGUGUUAAUAAAGAAUCACAUUCAAUUUCUGUUAAAUUAUCAGUAUUUGUUUCUUUCUAACAACUACCAUUCAUGCAAAUGUGGCUAUUAAAAAAAGCUCCAAUGACACAUAAAAAGCUUCCAAACAAUAUAUAAACAAAGAUGCAUUGUUUUCUGUUAAGAAGGGGACAGGGUUACGGUUACUUGUGUACCAAGUUAGUUAUCCAUGCUUUCUUGUUCAUAGGAUUUAUAUGGUGUAGUUGCACUUAGUUGCUAAAUGUAUGCAAGCUUUUCCUUUCUAUAAAUAAGCACACCUACUAUCAUUCUUCUCCACAUUCCUUUCUACUCUUCUAUCAUGAAUUGUUCAUCCACAUAAGAUGGUCACAGAGCACACCUAAUACUCUGCUACUGGUGUAUCAGUUCCUUUCCACCAGAAACUUAUGAUCUCUAAUUGAAAGAGAUCCUAAAGUUUUAAGAUUUCUACAAAAUACAUUAUUCUCAUUUUUGUACAAGUAUGAUACAAUUAUUCCCAAGUAUUAUUUAUUCUAAGGAAUAGAAUUUAGUUGUGGUUUCUCUAUUUAACCAACAUUUAUUUUUAAAUAACUAAAUUUAAAAAAAAAAUCCUGAAAUUAUUAAGUACAUACCUAACACAUUGUAAAAUUUUGUUCCCAAAGAAAAUAUUUUUGGCAAUAGAAUUUUCAGGAACUUCAUUCCUAGGAAUAUAAUUCUAUACUAAGAGAAGAGCUUAAGCAUUGAUACAUAACAAGACCAAUCCAUAUCCUAAUCACAAUCCUACUUUCACUAAAUACUUUCACUUAAGUGUGGUCUUGGAAAGGACAAAUGAAGAAAGACAUUCCAGAGGUAUGGUAAGGGACAAUAUCUGCAGUUAUGCACAUAUUGCAAGAUUGUGAGGAACUACCGGACUGAUUUGAUUCACCAAAAAAUUUGGAAUAAAUAUUUCAGCCCAGAACUCAGACAAUGACUGGAUUGGAACCUUUCAGCUUCUAAUAUCGGUACUGUCCAAGGAAAUAGUCAUUCUCUUUUUGGAGUAGCUGUGAAGGAUUUAUGGAAAGAUAGAACUAAGCUGGUCUUUUCUAGAAACACCGCGAUUGGAACUACUCUAUUUUGGCUUGUAGCCAAUCCGGCUAAGUUUAUUAACAAUGUAGUUUGUACUCAAGCUCACAGUCACGAUGUUGUCAGCAACAGUGGGCAUAUUGUUUAGGUAGCCUGGAAUUUUCCUCCCCAACACUUCUUCAAAGUGAAUAUGAUGGAUCUCUACGGGAUUAUGUUAGUUUCCAGGAUCGAACUCAGAACCUCCUGAUUAUAACUCCUUCAAUGUAUGUCCCUUACCCACGUGGGGCCUCGGCUGUAAUUGUUAACAUGGUAAAAUUUGGCUCUUCCAAUAAUGGUUUUAUCCAAACUCGAGGUUGUUUAUCGUCUCCAACAAUCAGAUUGGAGAAUACUAGUGGUUCAUGCAUUUGAACAAACCAACUGUUGUGCAGAUUUUCUAGUUGAUUUUGUUUUUCCUUUUUUGAGUAUUUUAUUAGCCAAUGAUAUAAGAGGUUGUAGCCUACCUCUUUUGAUUUCUUAAGACAAUCACUUUUGCAUUAGAAAAAAACGACCCUACAUAAAAUUAAUGAUUGAAUUAAGAUAUAACUUCAGUUUGAAAUAUUGUAAAAUUCUAUACCACCAAAAACUGAGAAUUUUAGAACCAUACAGGUUGGUGGAGUGGUCAUCCAGAUAACUUUAACAUAAUUAACAGUCCAAAAAGUAAAUAGCUUUAUCCUUUAUUUUCAAUCUGAUGUGAUUUACUCUUAUCUGUUAAACAUUAUAAUUAAGAAUCCAAAGGGAACACUCACCUAAUCUCUCUCUUUUUUCUAGCUUUUUCACUAAACCACUGUGUCUGUGGUUACCACAUUUCCUUAUGGAAUCAAUAUCCAAUUUAUGUUAAAAACCAUUUCUACAUUUUGUGUUAAAAAUGAUCUAAACAAAGAUGAUUUAUUUCUCUUAAAUUCAACAUAGAUCAUAUUUACAUGGUUCAAACUUUCUAUUACACGGCAUUGACUUAGUUGCUUCACAUGGGGACACAACUAAUGCAUAUAUUAUUUUAUAUGCUUAUAGUAAUUUUAACAAGUGGCAAUGGGGCAUAUGUUUUGUCAAAAAAACACAAAAAACAGGAGGCAUGUGCAACUGAAGUCACUGCCAGCUUGGCACUAAGAUAUAGUAAAAUAAUUGACAUUUGAAGAAAACAAAGACGUUGCUACAUUUCUAUUCAAACAAGCGACAUCAAUAUCAGACAAUGGUGCUACAUUUAAUAAUACUACAGCUAUCCCCAUAAGCACCUCUUAGAAAGAAAAAAAAAUAUCCAUUAAAUUAAUGUUGGAAGAGUUAGCAACAUGUCCUCUCCCAAAAAAACUCAUGUUUGAUUCCUAGAGUCGUCCAUUUCGAAAGAAGCUCAACCCUGAUAAUAAAAACCUAGAUGUUAUGCUGCAGACUUAAAGAUCAAUUUCAUAAUGGAUCCAAAGGGCCUAAGCUGUGUGGGAUACUUAAGGGGGUAUAUUGAGGCUAAGGGUCAAAGAUCUUAAUUAUGGUCGGUUAAAAAAAGAAGAAAAAAAAAUUAUCUCUAAAUAUAAAGUCAACAAUAUUUCAAAUUGCAAGAUACAUUUAUUUAUUUUUUAAAUAUGUAUAUACCUCUUAUUAAUACUUACUAAUUUGUUUUGAGUGAUAAAAAGUUACGAGUUAGACAGAUCAGCACAUAAAAAAAGUAUUUGAAAAACAUCUACCAACAAAAUAAACACAUUAAAAACAAUACUACUUUUUUACAAUACUGUAUGUGAAAAUGACAAAAUCUUGAAAAAGAUGGAGGUAACAUGUACUCUUUUUUUUUUAGAGGGGAGCAUGUACUUUUCCACUAACAAUGUUGAUAAGAAACAUAUAAAAUACUAUUAGAGAAAGAAAAAAAAUAAUAAAUAAAGAAAUAUAUAAAAUACUGAGGAAUGACUCACUCAUGUCAAAUUUUAGCAAGGGAGAAGUGAUAUCACAUCAUUUUAGAAGAGGAAUGAGAAUAGAUAGAUCUAAUUUUUCUAGUAAGUUUGAAUAGUAGAAUCAUACUUCUUUGUCUUUUGUGAAAAUUUCAUAUUAUGGGAUCUAUUACUAGAAUACAGGUGAUUUUAUUCUGGAAGAUUGACUUUUUAUUAAAAUAAAAUAAAAGUACAUUUUUUAUUUCCAAAUGCUUAGUUGUUCAUUUAUAAAUAUUACAUUAUCCAACAGCACCAAACCCUAUUUCAUAACGGUACUCUGCACGUUUCAUUCAUUUACUGGUGCCUUAGUUUUUUGUUACAAACAGACAUUGAUCAGAGGAACAAAUGUAGAGACAAAUUGAAGAUAAUAUAUCACAUAAUAUUGUAGACACACCUUCACAUACAAAUGGGGUAAAGUCCCUCAUAGUAGUAUUAGAAAUAACACUUAGAGUAAAAUUUUGCUAAAUUUAACAUGAAAAUAAGUGUAAUGUAUUUUAUAGGCAGCUAUACAUAAUUAUUAAUUAGAACAAUUUUUUACACUGUCAAACAAAAAUUGAACAAUUUUUUACUAGCUUUAUGCUUUAUGAUGUUUUGAUUCCAUGUGCACAUUUCAAUUUUAGAACUAUUCCUUUCUAUGUUACUGAAAUAAUUCUAUCAUUAGGCAUUGACAUUUCCAUUAUGCGUGCACGUUAAAGUGUUUUCCCAAACAGAGAAAUAUUAAGAAAGGUUAAACUUUUGACUUAAAGACACAACUAAAAUAAGAUCCAAGGAAAACCCCAUUGAUUAUUUCUUGCACAAAAUUAAAAACCCCAUUGAUUAUUUCUUGCACAAAAUUAAAAUGCUAAUAAUUUUUCCUGGUCUAUAUUUUUCUCCUUCCGGGAAAUGGCAACAUCACAUGUUCAUCUCAUAAUUGAGAAAACACAUGUCUGGGAAAAUAUCUUAAAGAAAAGGCAGUAAAGUAAUAAAAAGUGCACCAAAUAGAGAUUAACUAGUACUCUUUGCAUGUCAACUAAGUGGUAUAAUUAUGUAUAUCACAUUCUUAAUAUUGAUUAUCUUGAUUGCACGAUAAGCCCCUCAAAUUGCUCAAUCGAUGAUUGCUUGAUAAGCCCAUCAAAUUGCCCAAUCGAUCGAAUCGUAACUUUCGAUAGACAUUUUUUUUAAGAAAACCCAAUUGGAUCAUAACUCCCCAUAGUCAUUUAUUUGAAAUUGUGAGCAAUUUGAUAACUUAUUGAGCAAUCACCAUUGAUUUUAGUCUCAAUUUAUCCUAAUGUUGUAACCCUGGAAUAAUGGAACAGUGAGUAAAUUUGGUUUCUCCGUCUCAAAAUAAGUGUCACAAUUUAACCAUGUGCACUACUCAUCAAAUCUACUUUGACAACAUUUUUUUUACUAAUAUAUAAAGACAAUGUUAGUACAUUACAUGUUCGAUUUGUCUUAGUUAAUGUUUUUAAAAUAUCGACUUUAUUAUAAUUUUUCUUAAUAGACAAUCAAAAAUAUCAAUUGUCAAAAUUGUGUAUUGAUAUGUAUGAAAAUCAAACUAUAACACUUACUUUGAGACGAAGAGAAUAACUAUUAAAAACUAAUGUUCAAAUAGAAAGAAAAGAAAACAAAGAUUCCAUACAAAGCUUGCAAAAUAGCUACAAUCAUAACCUAGAACAAAAAUCAUGACCACACACUAUAUCCAUUUUCCUUUUCCUAAAAAGCAAUUGAAGAUAAAAAAAAAAAAAAUAAUAAAUAAAAAAAAAAAAAAAAAAAAAAAAAANACCACCAUACUACUACAAAUCCCCACCUCCACCAUCGCCUUCUCCUCCACCACCAUACUACUACAAAUCCCCACCUCCACCAUCGCCUUCUCCUCCACCACCAUACUACUACAAAUCCCCACCUCCACCAUCGCCUUCUCCUCCACCACCAUACUACUACAAAUCCCCACCUCCACCAUCGCCUUCUCCUCCACCACCAUACUACUACAAAUCCCCACCUCCACCAUCGCCUUCUCCUCCACCACCAUACUACUACAAAUCCCCACCUCCACCAUCGCCUUCUCCUCCACCACCAUACUACUACAAAUCCCCACCUCCACCAUCGCCUUCUCCUCCACCACCAUACUACUACAAAUCCCCACCUCCACCAUCGCCUUCUCCUCCACCACCAUACUACUACAAAUCCCCACCUCCACCAUCGCCUUCUCCUCCACCACCAUACUACUACAAAUCCCCACCUCCACCAUCGCCUUCUCCUCCACCACCAUACUACUACAAAUCCCCACCUCCACCAUCGCCUUCUCCUCCACCACCAUACUACUACAAAUCCCCACCUCCACCAUCGCCUUCUCCUCCACCACCAUACUACUACAAAUCCCCACCUCCACCAUCGCCUUCUCCUCCACCACCAUACUACUACAAAUCCCCACCUCCACCAUCGCCUUCUCCUCCACCACCAUACUACUACAAAUCCCCACCUCCACCAUCGCCUUCUCCUCCACCACCAUACUACUACAAAUCCCCACCUCCACCAUCGCCUUCUCCUCCACCACCAUACUACUACAAAUCCCCACCUCCACCAUCGCCUUCUCCUCCACCACCAUACUACUACAAAUCCCCACCUCCACCAUCGCCUUCUCCUCCACCACCAUACUACUACAAAUCCCCACCUCCACCAUCGCCUUCUCCUCCACCACCAUACUACUACAAAUCCCCACCUCCACCAUCGCCUUCUCCUCCACCACCAUACUACUACAAAUCCCCACCUCCACCAUCGCCUUCUCCUCCACCACCAUACUACUACAAAUCCCCACCUCCACCAUCGCCUUCUCCUCCACCACCAUACUACUACAAAUCCCCACCUCCACCAUCGCCUUCUCCUCCACCACCAUACUACUACAAAUCCCCACCUCCACCAUCGCCUUCUCCUCCACCACCAUACUACUACAAAUCCCCACCUCCACCAUCGCCUUCUCCUCCACCACCAUACUACUACAAAUCCCCACCUCCACCAUCGCCUUCUCCUCCACCACCAUACUACUACAAAUCCCCACCUCCACCAUCGCCUUCUCCUCCACCACCAUACUACUACAAAUCCCCACCUCCACCAUCGCCUUCUCCUCCACCACCAUACUACUACAAAUCCCCACCUCCACCAUCGCCUUCUCCUCCCCCACCUUACUAUUACAAAUCCCCACCGCCACCUUCACCAUCUCCCCCACCACCCUACUACUAUAAAUCACCCCCACCACCUUCACCAUCUCCUCCACCACCAUACUACUACAAAUCACCCCCACCGCCAUAUGAACACAAGACUAAACCAUACUAUUACAAGUCUCCUCCACCACCAUAUGAACACAAGACUAAACCAUACUAUUACAAGUCCCCACCACCACCUUCACCAUCUCCUCCACCACCAUACUAUUACAAGUCCCCACCACCACCUUCACCGUCUCCACCCCCACCAUACUACUACAAAUCACCUCCUCCUCCAUCACCUAUUCCCCAUACACCUUACUACUACAAGUCCCCACCACCACCUAAGGUUCUUCCACCACCAUACUAUUACAACUCUCCUCCUCCACCUGUUGUGUAUCAUCACCCUCAUCCCUACCACCAUGCAUUGAUCGUGAAGGUAGUGGGUAACGUCUACAGCUUCAGAUGUUAUGACUGGGAGUAUCCUGAAAAGUCUCAUAACAAGAAACACCUCAAAGGUACAUCACAUUACAUUUCUCAAUUCUUUCAUUUUUAUAGAUUUUAUGUACAUCACUAUUGGCUCGUAGUUUCUCAAUACCAUUACAACUAAACUGCAAGUUUCAGUAAUGAGAUUCAUAUAGACAUGUUUUUAUUAACAUCUUUGUUUCUUAGAAAUUAUACAAACACUUAAUUUAGGUUUCUCCAUGUCCAAUAAAGUAAACAAUUGAUAUAUCAAAUUAACAUAUAUGAUAUAUCAUUUACCUCAUUAAAAUUUAAUAAUCCUGCCUAAUAUAAAGAUUCGGUUUGAAAAUGAUAGUUUAGUGAGCUUCUUUAUAAUAACACUCUCCAAUAUAUUAUGUUUUAAAAACAAUUAUAUUUCUAUUUGUCUAAAUUCAAAUUUGUUAUGGGACAGGUGCUGUUGUUGAAGUGACAUGCAAAGCCGGGAGCAAAAUCAUCAAGGCUUACGGUAAAACUAAGAUCAAUGGAAAGUAUGCCAUCACAGUUAAGGACUUUGACUAUGUCAAAUAUGGUUCAACAGUGUGCAAGGCUGCCCUUUAUGCUCCACCUAAGGGUUCACCCUUCAACAUACCUACAAAGCUAAACCAAGGAACAAACUUGUACUUGAAAUCCAAAGACAAGUACGAGGUUGUGCUCAAGGCUAAGCCAUUUGCUUAUGCUUCAAAGAAACAUUUCAAAGAAUGUGAGAAGUCCAAGCCUUCACCAACUCCUUACUACUACAAAUCACCUCCACCUCCCUCACCAGUUUACAAGUAUAACUCACCACCUCCACCCGUCCAUUAUUACUCACCUCCAUAUUACUACAAGUCACCUCCUCCCCCCGUGAAAGCGGCACCAACUCCUUACUACUACAAAUCACCUCCACCUCCCGCACCAGUUUACAAGUACAACUCCCCACCUCCGCCAGUCCAUUACUAUUCACCUCCAUACACCUAUAAGUCACCUCCUCCUCCUGUGAAAGCAGCACCAACUCCUUACUACUACAAAUCACCUCCACCUCCCGCACCGGUUUACAAGUACAACUCACCACCUCCACCGGUCCAUUAUUAUUCUCCACCAUACUACUACAAGUCACCACCCCCACCAUCUCCAUCACCUCCUCCACCAUACUAUUUCAAAUACUAUUACAAGUCCCCACCUCCACCAUCACCAUCCCCUCCUCCACCUUAUUAUUACAAAUCUCCUCCUCCACCAAAACAAAUUUCACACCCUCCAUACUACUAUAAGUCACCACCCCCACCAUCACCAUCACCUCCUCCACCAUACUAUUAUAAGUCUCCACCUCCACCAUCACCAUCUCCCCCACCACCUUAUUAUUAUAAGUCACCACCCCCACCAUCCCCGUCCCCUCCUCCACCAUACUACUACAAGUCUCCACCUCCACCUAAAGAAAUAUCACAUCCUCCAUAUAACUAUAAGUCACCACCCCCACCAUCACCAUCCCCUCCCCCUCCAUACUAUUACAAAUCUCCUCCACCACCAUCACCAUCACCACCACCUCCCUACUAUUACAAAUCACCUCCACCACCAUCACCAUCACCUCCCCCUCCAUACUAUUACAAAUCUCCUCCACCACCAUCACCAUCACCACCACCUCCUUACUAUUACAAAUCACCUCCACCACCAUCCCCAUCACCACCACCUCCAUACUACUACAAAAGUCCCCCUCCACCAUCUCCAUCUCCUCCAUCCCCAUAUUACUACAAAUCUCCACCACCACCAUCACCAUCCCCACCCCCUCCCUACUAUUACAAAUCACCUCCACCUCCCUCACCAUCACCGCCACCUCCUUACUAUUACAAAUCUCCCCCACCUCCAUCUCCAUCUCCACCACCUCCUUAUCACUAUCAAAGUCCUCCUCCCCCAUCUCCCAUUUCUCAUCCUCCCAACUACUACAAAUCCCCUCCACCACCAUCGCCAUCUCCUCCACCUCCAUACCAUUACGUGAGUCCUCCCCCACCAGUAAAGUCACCUCCACCACCAGCUUACAUCUAUGCUUCUCCACCACCACCAAUCUACAACUAGCCUCACAACACCAAAUCACCAUUGGUGAUAAAUUAUGUAAGUUUACCAUUAUUGCAAUCAUAACACUUGCAUCUUUUCCCACCCAUACACACACAUAUCACAUGUUUAAAUUUUAUGUACUAAUCAACAAAAACUCUUAUUUGUUUUCAGGUUCUAGUUUUCAUCAAGGAAUAAAGUCGUCCAUUUGGAGCAAAGUGAAACAACUAGCUCUCUGUCCAAAUUAUUUGAUGGCCAUCUUGCACUUCCUAAUCUUAUUGUGUUCAAGUGACUGGCUAAUCAAAAUGUGGAAGCGAGAUUAAUUUAUUUAUUAUCUCUUUGAUUUAUAUGUGCAUAGAUUGAUAUUUCCCUGUAUGAUAACUUUAUUUUUAUUGAGGAUUUUUUGUAUUGUACCCUGUUGUGUUUGUUAAAAUAAGUAUUAUCAAUGAAGAAUUACCUUCAAUUUCUUUCCACCUAAUUAGUUCUUGUUUCUUUUAAACAACUAUCAAGCAUGUCAGCAAGGCAAAGCAUACCACUACCACCAUAUCACCAUAAAAUGCAUCAUUAUUCAUUGCAUAUGAGAUAAAUAUAUGCAAACUAUAUCUAAUUAUUAAGAGGGGGAAAAAACUAAUGUACAGAAAAUGUACCUCAAGGCUUCAGGAUAGGUGUUAGAAACCCAAGCUUUUAAUAGCUCUCUCCAAGAAUCCUCGUUUCUACAACUUAAGUUCCUAUAUUAAUCAAUUAUAAUAUAUGAGAAACUUAUGUUGUCGACCAACAAUACAGGUGACUCAAAAAAAUAUUAUAUUUUAAAAGUCAAACCUUGAGCUAUACACAUGUAAGCAUCAUCAAUAUAAGUUUCACCAUUGUUCAUGUGUAUUAUUCCAUAAAUUUUGGCUCAGUUGAGGUUACUACACUGGUUUUCUUCCUAUUGUAUCAUAUAUUUAAAUACUAUGGUGCGUUUGGAUAAACAGCUUAUGUCACAAGCACUUAUCAUGAUAAGCGCUUUUGUAUAAACUUGCAUGAGUUAUUUUCAUAUCAAAAGAUAAACAAGAACAUUAAAUUGUUUUUGUAUAUUACUUAAGUUGUUUUCAUAAGCUAUGUUGAAGAACUAAUGAAAAUUAGCUGAAAAAAGCUUAUGCUGUUUUCAUGAAUUCUCCCUAACAGUCUCACAAUAUUUAUGUCAGUAUAUAAUCAAAUAAGUCAAUCCAAACAGGCCCCACGUCUUCUAUAUUAGACCAUAUGACAAUUUCUUUUCGGUUUAUUCUCAUUAAAAGUUAAAAAUGGUGUAUUUGAAUCCUAUAAUUCUUUGUCAUACAAGUGCAUUCAAAUACAAUUUGAAGCCAUGGUGAAAGUGUUUAAUUUGCAGAGCUCACCAACAUAAUCUAACGUAUAUUUGGAUUGACUUAUUUGAACUUAUCUACUAGCACAAAUACUUGUGAGAUUGUUUACGAAAGUUUAUGGAAAAAACUUACAACACACACAUAAGUUGUUUUCAGCUUAUUUCCAUAAACUCUUCAAAAUAGCUUAUGAAACAACUUAUAUGAUAAGAGCUUAUUCUAUAAGCGCUUAAUUAAGUUUUAAUCCAUUCUUCUUCUACCUUCAUCUUCAGUUAACAAAACGAAUACAAUUUCUGAAAAUUCAAAGUUCAAACACCAAAAAAUACCUAAAAUGAAAAAUUGUUGAAUGAAAGCGCAAAUAGAACCUGGCAAUGCGUUCGAGAAGCACGUGGAGGAGGUGGCGUGGCAGAAGAAUGUGUGGAUUUCAUCGGAGAAUUUCAGUUCUGCUCGCGCCAUUUAAGAAAUUUUGUAAACUUAAAGUUUAGUUUAAGUUUACCCCUCUUUUUUUUUCAUUUUAAAGGAGUUUACCCUACAAAUUUUUGUAUGUUUUUGCCACGUUUACAAAUGAUUUAAUAUGUUUUUAUCCUAUAUAUAUUUAGGGAUGUAAAUGGAUAUUAUGAUGCGGAUAGUGUAAUAUUUGUGUCUGUUCCAUUGGAUAAAUAUGAAAUCUGUACCAUAUUCAUAUCGUACGGAUAUCUGUUUAGCGGGUAAUCCACAGAUUUUGAGAUAUUUGAGUGUUUAUAGAUAUAUUCAUUGAUAACAUUUAUAAAAAUAAAAUAAAAAAUUUGUUUAAUUCUUUUUAGAGACAAAGGUUCUUCAUAUGCAUUUUCUUUUCUUUUUAACAAAACAUAAUAUUCAUACAUUAUAAUAACAACAAAGAUCAUUGACUCAACAAAAACAUAAAUAAAGUUGCUUACAUUUAAUAAAAAUAAAGUUAUUUGAUUUAACAAAAACAAAGCUCUUGCAUCAACAAUCCCAACCACUUUCACUUCCUUUUAAAAGAGUGUAAUAACAAAUAACACUCACAAUACAUAAGGUUUUUUUUUAGGAAGUUGAAUGAUAUUAAGGUUAUUUAUGUAAUUUACUCGGUUUAAUAGUCGGUAUGGAUAUCCACGGGUGUGGAUACCGUUAAAUCCGCAUCCAUAUCCAUUAAUUAGCAGGUAGUUAAAAAAUUCAUUUAUUUUAUCCAUUGAUAUCCAUUAAGGUAUCCGCUCCGUGCCCGUGACGGAUUAUAUCCGCGGAUAUUCACGGGUGCGAAUUUUUUUGUCAUCCCUAUAUAUAUAUAUUAGUCUUAAACUUGACUAUUUUUUAUUAUCAUUUGGUGCUAUAAUUAAAAAAAAAAAAAAAAUAUUGUUCGUCUGAGCCAUUUAGCUACAGGCUAUUACUUUUCUCAUUCUACAUGUUUCUCGCUUGUCCUAUUUUUUUUUUAAUACUUUUUGCUCGAAUUCUAAAAUCUAAACUCCUAUAGGGAUUUUUGGAUUCUAUAAUCCAAAACACGUUGAAACCCAAAAAUAAAAUAAAAAACUAUGUAAUUGAAAUCAAAGAUCUCUACUGCUAAUGCACGUUUUCCACAAAAACUACAAAGUAAUUUCAAAGUAAUUUCACAAAAACUAUCGUAUGAAUAGACAGCAAUGAGCAUGAUAUCAUAAAUAACUCAAAACUUUAUAAAAAUAAAAAUAAAAAAAUGAAUAAGAAGAUGUGAAGAAUGAAUGUAAACGUUGGAGGAUACAAAGCUAUUUAUAGACAUAAAAUGUUCCUAGACUCUAAAGUGGGUCAAAGAAAACAUGAAUAACAUUUACAACUUAAUUAACACAUCACAGAUCAUUCAAACCUUUGGUGUAACAUCAUCGUAUGUAGUCUGGCACAGUUUGGAUUAUACAAUCUGAACAUUUCAUAAGCAGUUUGGAUUAUAUAAUUUGAACUAUCCCAGACUGUGUUUCAGCUUGAUGUUUGGAGGGUUUUGUAUGGUGGAUAACACAAAAAAAUGACAUAAUUCAACAACGUAAAAAAUAUAAUAAGAUAAGUGAUGAUGAAAGGGAAGCCGCACCAAGAGGUGUUUUUGAAUUCGAUCCAGUUGUCCUAUCAACUGACAUAUAUUUCUAUUGGCAUGGCAGCAAGAUCAAGUUUCAAAACGACCUUUUUGUGUUCAUAUCCGCAAAAUAAUGAUGAAAGGCAAGGUAUUCCAAGAAGUGUUUUUUAACUUGAUCUCGCUACCUUGUCAACUAACAUAUUUCUAUAGACAGUGCAGCAAGAUCAAAUUUAUAACAACCUCUAGGUGUUCAUAUCCGCUAAGUAAUUUUUCGUAGUUCUUUAUUGUGAUCUACAAAAAAAAAAAAAAAAAAGAUCUAUUUAUAUAAGUUUAUGUGCGUCGCGAACCAGAUAAAUUUUCGAUGCAUUGUGGACCAAAAAAAAAUUCUAAUUCGGACUAAACAAGAUGAAUUUUCCUUCACCCUAGAAAGUAAAAGUUUUGACAAACACAAGACUGAUUAUACAUUAAAUACAACAAUCAGCCAAACUAAACAUAUUAGAUCACAAAUCUUUCAAACUAACUUCUUCAUUGGAUUCCUCCAAGAGAGCCUUGAUUUAUUUGUAUGUUCUAGGCCGAAUCAAUUUUUUUUAAUAUCUUUGAAAGGGCCCGACCAAGAAAACAUCCAACUCAAUUGGUCAUUUAAUACCGUACUGACCAAAUAUUAAAACAUUAUUCUCUUAUCGCAUUGUUCCUGAGUUUAAUCUAGGUAAACUAGAUGCUUUCAUCUUAGCCAAUCGAUGGACUUUGAUGCUCAACAUUGUCCAUCCUUCUUGUGUCUGUGUUGUUGAGUCGACGGUUGAUUUAGUCCAGCUAAUAUUGGACUUUCCCCCAUUGUAGUAAACUACAGUUAGUUUGGUGUCAGAUCAAUGAUUGAAGUGUUCAUGAUUAUUUGGUGUGGUUUAUAGCAAAUGAAAACAAGCACACCAAUUUAUAGAAGUUUAUGUGCGCCGCGGACUACAAUAACUAUUGGUGCAAUGAAGACCAUAGAAAAAGCAUGUACUUGGCUGAUUUGGAUUAUAUAAUUUACAUUGUCCCUCACCCUACAAAGUACAAAUUUCAACACAAUAUUGAACCAAUUCGGAUUAUAGAAUCCAAUCAUUUAUGAGAUAAUUUCGGAUUAUAUAAUUAAAACUAGUUCACAAUGUGAACCGCAGCUUGGUCAGCAAGACUAACUCAUUAAAAAUGUUUUUUAAGUUGGUGAACGACGCUUGACUGGUCAGCAAGACUUGAAAACAAUUUUCGUACCAUGCAUUAAUGGACCAUUACCCUCUAUGAAAUGUACUUCACAAAUUCUCCUUCCGAAUACCCACUAAUACAUCACAAAUUCUUAUUUCAUCUCACAUUCUCUCGUUCUUUUUACUUCUACAAUGUGCUUCCAUAGUUUGUGUUUCAUACAAAAAUGUUACUCUAAUAUUUUAUGGAUUGUAUGAAUGGUCAAAAGGCAAAAAUUGGCACCAUCUGUUUGGAUGUAAGGUUGAUCAUCAAAGUCUAAUCCACUAAGAGAGGAAACAAACCUUACCCCAACCUCAUUCCCCAUUCAUCUUCUUGCACCGCAUGUUUAAAUGAUACUCCCUCCGGUCCUAUUUAUAAGAGAAAGUUAGGUCAACAAAAGUUGAUGUAUCUGAACUGAAUUUUUAACCGGAUACAUCAACUUUUGUUGACCCAAAUUUCUCUUAUAAAUAGGACCGGAGGGAGUAUUUGUACAACCAUUUUGGUACAACUUUUGUACAACUUUCUCUCUCAUACUCACAUUAUGUUUUUAUUCUCUCUCUUACUUUUUUUCUCUCCAUUGUGGUUGACCAAUAAGAAGGGAGAAUAUCAAGGUUGUCACAAAAAUUGUAACAAAAGAGUUGUUCAAAUAUCAUUACUCUUAUCAUUAUGUGUUAAAUAAUUUUGUGUAAUAAGCUUCAAUGACAAUGUAAAUAUACAAUAAAAGAUAUAAAUUAUUCAUAAAAUGAAAAUUUUAUUCAUUUAUCUUUUUAUAUUUUUGUCUCUUUUAGUUUCAGUCAUUUUCAAUUAUGCAUUCUUAAUAUUAUGUCAAUGUUGAUCAAUAAUUAUUGGCAAAAGAAGUUUUCAUGUUAUAGAAUAUGAAAAUCCCUGGUACCAAAAAAAAAAAAAAUCUGAAAAUCCCUCUAUAGGAUUUCAGAUUUUAGAAUCCGACCAAAUGGUAUUUUGAAGAGAGAAAAAUAGUGUGUCUAAGUAACUCAUGUUGAGAAAAGUAAUAGCCUUAAUUAUGUCUCCGAUAAACAUUUUAUUCCCUUCCGUUAAUCAGUUAAUCCCAAAUGUCUAAGGUGAACCAAUAUUAUAGGUGGUCUACCAUAAACCUCAUAACAAUUUUAAGGUCAAAUACCACUUUUGGUCAUUUUAGUUUGACAGAAUUCUCAAGUUAGUCAUUUAAGUUUCGAAAGUUUCAAUUAGGUCCUUUUAGUUUGACAGAAUUCCCAAGUUAAUCCUUUAAGUCAUAAAAUUCAGGGGAGCAAAGUAGAUACUCCAGUUUUCAGAGGCGGAGACAUAGUCAUGUCAAAAGCAUCCCACAUCCUAUUACCACCUACUUGAACUCAUCAAGCUUGGUAUGGACCAUUCACAGUAACAUGUGUAUGUAGUCUCGUGGAGAUCUGGGACAAUAUCAAAUGGCAUGCUAAGGUGAAUCGACACAAACUGAAGCAUGUUAAAGAUUGCAUCCGGAAAAUGAAAGUUGAAGAAGAUGAACCUGCUUUGAAGAGGUUCAAGGGCACAACAUAGACUUAUUCUCCAUGUUCAAGAUGUAAAACACGCAUUGAACGAGAGACAACCCAUUAAUUUAUUUUCUCCGUUAUUUGUCUUGUGUCAUUUUUGCUCGAAUUUUUUGCCGUCAAUUCUUUAUGAAUUAUCAGUCAUAUUAUAUUACACACUAGACAAUUUUUUUGGUACCUUGAGCCUUUUCAAUCCGCCCUUAUCAUCAUUAUAUCCUUUGCUAAAUCCCUUUGAGCUUCCAUGCAUUAUUUCUUUUGUUUUUUUUAUUAAGUAACAAAUCAUGUCACAAGUUUGAACUUUUAAUGCCAUCUAUUUGAUUUCUUUUAUAGUUAGAUAGAAUAUUUUUAAGAACUUGGUAUGAUUUGAAUAUAUGUUAGGGUUAUAAGGGAGAAAUGUAAUGGCAAAGAGGAAGAGCAAGAAAAGAGAUGAAAGAUGAAGGGACAUUAGGCAGACUCAAUCACGGUAGUUAGAAUGAUUGCCUUCUGUUUUGCAGUAAUUUGCAUGAGCUUCACUUUUCAAGUAGAGUAAAAAAAACAGGAAUAGAUAGACACAUUUCUUCUAAGUUUGAGUAGUGAGUGAUAACACUUCUAUGUAAUCCCUAAAAAAAAACACUUCUAUGUAAAAAAAUCACAUGGGAAAUCCAUUCCUAUAGUACACGUAAUUUUGAUCUGGAAGGUUGACUUUUCAACAAAAUAACCUAAAAUAAUUUGUUCAUAACAUAAUAGAGGAAUCUAGAAGUGUUCGCGGUGCGGUUUGAUUCGGUUUUGAGCAAAAAAGUCAUCCAAACCGCGCGAUAAAAAAACAUGUGGUUUGGUUCGGUUGAUUUUUAAAAAAUCAUCCAAACCAAACCAAACUAAACCAAUACGGUUUGGAUUGGUUCGGUUUGUGCGGUUUAUCGCGAGAUAAAAAAAAAAUAUUACAUUAACUCUAAUAUUUCCAAAUUGUUACAAAAUAAACAUAGAACGUUUUUUUAUUUAUUUUUAUAUGAUAAAAUAUUAGGUAAAACUCAUAUCAAAAUAGGUAAAAUUAAGAAGAAUUUAUAAGCAUGAAACAAAUUAUUGGAAAGUAAAGGAAACAAAUUUAAGUAAUAUUCAUUAUUCUUGCAGCUAUGUAAUUGGGCUAGAAACAUUUUAUUUUGAUGUUUAUAUCGAACAUGAUGGUGCAACAAUGGAAAAAUCAAAUCAAAAAAGAUUAUUCUUGAGCUAUGUAAUUGAGCUAGUACAUAUUUAAGUAAUAUUCAUUAUUCUUGCGGUUUGGUUUGGUUUGAUUCGGUUGCUGAGAUGCAAACCGCAAAUCAAACCAAACUGUAUGUUUUAGUGCAAAAGUCAUCUGAAUUCAUCCGAAAUCAAGUACGAUUUUUUACGAUUUUGAAUUGGUUUAAUUUGCCGUUUUUCUAUUGGAUUGGUUCGGUUUGAACGAUCUGCAUGAAUUCUUCUAGUUGAUUGUUGGACUAUUUUUAAUUGGCAAAGGCUUAGUUGUCCAUUUAUAAAUAUAAAUACUAUUAUUACAUUAUCCAAUCCAAUAGCACCAAAACCAAUAUAAUAAUGGUAAUUUGCAAUUUUGCACGUUUCAUUCAUUUAUUGGUGCCUUAAUUUUGGGUUACAGACCGACAUUGAUCAGUUGCUAAAAAACCACUGCAUCCUUAUUUUUUACGAGGUAGAUGCAUCGGACAAAUAAACCGACAAACAAAGCUAUUCAGAAAGUGCUCAGAAAUUUUUUGUGCCCCAACAGAAAAUAUUAAGAAAGUCUUGCUACACAGUGUCUUGUAUACAAGUGAAAUAUGUGUGGUAUUAUGCACAAGUUUAUUUUUACAAGUUGAUAUAAGAAUCUAAGUAUAUUUUUAUGGAAAAUUAAUGCUAACAAAUACUUUCAAAGCAUUGUUUAAGCAAUCAAUAUUAGUAACUUUUGCAUAGAAAUAUGUGUGAUUAUUAUUUUUUCAUAUGUUUUAUAUGUUUUCAAGAAAAUAUUUUUAUUUAUGGUUUUUUUAAAUAGUGUCCUUAGGUACUUGUUAGCAAAAUCUUAUUUAUAUAAGUUGAUCUAAGAAUCUCAUUAUUGUAUCGAGUGAGAUACGGCCAUACCGAAGCUUAUGGAUUCCAUAGUGGAAAAAUAACUUUUCAUCAGUGCAAUACUAUUUUAGUUGUAGAAUUUCUUUUCUUGUGUGUCCUAUUUCAGAUUUUAAAAUCCAAACAAUCGAAGGUUUAUGAAGGUUUUUCGAACAUUUUCGCACUGUUUGAAUUAUAUGAUCUGAAAUGUCAUAGAACAUGCGAGAAGCAAGUUGAAUGAAAUAAAAAACUCCUGCUCAAUAGAAUUAUUUUACUUGGUUAUUGUUUGAAUUUUAUUCUCCUUCAAAGACGGCAAUGUGCAAUUGUGCAUUUCAUCCGGAGAGUGGCAACAUCUCAUGCAUGUUCAUCUCAUAUAACUGAGAAGUCACAUGGCUUGGAAAAUCUUAAACCGAGAAAAACAAAAGGAGUAAAAGUAAUAAUAGUGAACCAAAGUGAAGAUGAACUUGUAGUCUAUCAAAAGAAGAUGAACUUGUUCGUCUUGGCAUAGUAACUCAUUUUUAUUCCUUGUUACCUAUGAAACACGGACAAUAGAUACAACACGGACACCAAUACGUUAAUACCGUUAAUAAUAUAAAAAAAUAGGUACAUUGAAUAAUUAAUGUAUUUGACCUAUAAAUGUGACCAGAUAUAUUAAUUAUUCAAUGUAUCUAAAAAGUUGGUUUUUGUUUAUAAAUAUGAUCAUAUGGAGUACUACUUUAGUGUAAUUUUAUGUAUUGGUACUGCGAGACAUCUAAUCUAAAGAGUGUCAAUGUUUUCACACAUAUUACUCACCAAAGUGCACACAUUAUAUGCAUUUAGGUAAACUGAGUUCAUCCAAAAUUGUAACCGCACAAACAGAGGGCCGCUAGGAAAUAUGAGGUAAAUUUGGAUUAUUCUUUAUCAAAAGCUUAUGACCAAAGAAAAACUAUACAAAAACUAAUGUUCAAAAAGUACAUAAAGUAAUAAUGCAAAGUCAAUGUGUAUAUAUAUUUCACCAUUAAAUAAAAGGGGAAAAAAAUCUCCAUACACAGCUUGCAAUAGCUACCAUCAUGGCCUAAAGCAAAUAUCAUAUGACCACUAAAAAACAAUAGAAAAUAAACAAAUAAAAAGAGAAAAACAAAAGAGAAAAUGGUAUAAAGAAAUCAUGUAGUAGUUAGUUUUUUCUCAAGAUGGGCAACUCAGCAGGGCUGCUAGGAGGAAAUUACAAAAGAACAUGACACUUAACUUCUCUAAUCAUUCAAAAUUUGUCAAGAUGCUGAUUAUAUAUUUUAAUUAGUAGUUAGAGAUUGUUAUAGUAACGUGUUCUAGCCAUCAAGAAUAAAACAAUGUCAUGGAAAAGAAGUGGCCUACUAGAAGAAUUAAUUUAAAGCAUUUACACCAAAAUAAAAACAAAUUGAAUAUUGGAAUUGGUCCUUCAUGAUAGCUUCCCCUUAACAACUAACUCUAACUAUAAAUACUGAAUCUUGCAUGCAACAUUUCAUAGUAAACACUAAGACCAAAACCUCUUCUUUCUAUCCAUGACUGCUAGGGCUAGUUGCCCCAAAAUGGGGCAUUUUUGGCCACAAAUGGCAAUGGCAUUGGCCAUUGUUUUGAUUUCUACUACUAUGGUUUCUGCUUCUGAUAGCUACAUUUACUCUUCGCCUCCACCACCUUAUGAGUACAAGUCCCCACCACCGCCGUCUCCCUCACCACCUCCUCCUUAUGUGUAUAAGUCACCACCUCCCCCAUCCUCGUCACCCCCACCACCAUAUGAGCACAAGGCUCCAUCUUAUGAGUACAAGUCACCACCACCACCAACUUCUUCACCACCACCUCCUUAUGUAUACAAGUCACCACCACCACCAUCUCCUUCACCGUCACCUCCUUAUGUGUACAAGUCACCACCACCUCCAUCCCCAUCACCCCCACCUCCUUACGUGUACAAGUCACCACCACCACCCUCGCCUUCCCCGCCCCCACCAUACUAUUACAAGUCUCCUCCACCACCCUCGCCUUCCCCACCGCCACCAUACUAUUACAAGAGUCCUCCACCACCCUCUCCUUCACCUCCACCUCCUUACUACUAUAAAUCGCCUCCACCACCCUCACCUUCCCCUCCCCCACCAUACUAUUACAAGUCUCCUCCACCACCAUCUCCCUCACCACCUCCUCCAUAUUACUACAAGUCUCCCACACCACCUUCACCCUCCUCUCCACCCCCAUAUAUACACAAGGAUCCACCAUACUAUUACAAGUCCCCACCACCCCCUUCACCAUCUCCUCCACCACCAUACUACUAUAAAUCUCCCCCACCACCCUCACCCUCUCCACCCCCACCUUACUAUUACAAGUCUCCUCCACCACCUUCACCAUCUCCUCCACCACCAUACUAUUACAAAUCUCCUCCUCCUCCAUCUCCUAUUCCCCAUACACCUUACUAUUACAAAUCUCCCCCACCACCUUCACCAUCUCCUCCACCACCAUACUAUUACAAAUCUCCUCCUCCUCCAUCUCCUAUUCCCCGUACACCUUACUAUUACAAAUCUCCCCCACCACCUUCACCAUCUCCUCCACCACCAUACUACUACAAAUCCCCUCCUCAUCCAUCUCCCAUUCCCCAUACACCUUACUAUUACACAUCUCCCCCACCACCUUCACCGUCUCCUCCACCACCAUAUUACUACAAAUCUCCUCCCCCUCCGUCUCCUAUUCCCCACACACCUUACUACUACAAGUCCCCACCACCACCAAAGGUCCUUCCACCACCAUACUAUUACAAUUCUCCUCCUCCACCUGUUGUGUAUCCUCACCCAUAUCCCUACCACCACUCACUUAUUGUGAGGGUAGUCGGUAAAGUCUACAGCUUCAGAUGUUAUGAUUGGAAUUAUCCUGCAAAGUCUCAUAACAAGAAACAUCUCAAAGGUACAUUACAUUUCUUAGGACCGGACCUCUUUAGAGUAAUGUGUUUAGAGAUAAUGCACAAUUUUUUAUUUUUUUAUCUCGUAAAGGUUUAUUUAUUAUAAUCACAAUUUCACUUUUGUCAAAAAGAAAAACAAUUUUACUAUAUAUAGUUUUAAUCAUUAACAUUUUGAUGUAAAAAGAAUACAAUUCUCUAUUACCUUUUUACUAUGAUAUAUAUACAAAGAUUAUUCAAAUCUAUAUAUCCAACCUAAUUUCCAUCCAAAAAAAUAGAAAACAUAGGGUGCUUUGAACGCCUGCAGCAUCACAUGAAUAAAUAAAAACAAUCAAUAAUCAACCUUGUUCUAAUUUAUUUUAGACAGCGAUUGUUAAGCAUACUGCUCUUUUAAUUACAUUUUUUUUAAAGAUGCUCUUUUAAUUAUAUUGUCCUAAUAUAAUAUGUGUCUUUAUAUAUUACUUGUCGUAAACUAAUUUUAUUAUGGGUGCAGGAGCUGUUGUUGAGGUGACAUGCAAAGCCGGGAGCAAAAUUGUCAAGGCUUAUGGAAAAACUAAGAACAAUGGAAAGUAUGCCAUCACAGUUAAGGACUUUGACUAUGUCAAAUAUGGUUCGACAGUGUGCAAGGCUACCCUUUAUGCUCCACCUAAGGGUUCACCCUUCAACAUACCUACAAAGCUAAAUCAAGGAACAAAGUUGUACUUGAAAUCCAAAGACAAGUACGAGGUUGUGCUCAAGGCUAAGCCAUUUGCUUAUGCUUCAAAGAAACAUUUCAAAGAAUGUGAGAAGCCUAAGCCUUCACCAACUCCUUUCUACAACUCACCACCUCCACCCGUCCAUUAUUACUCACCUCCAUAUUACUACAAGUCACCCCCUCCCCCUGUGAAAGCGGCACCAACUCCUUACUACUACAAAUCACCUCCACCACCCGCACCGGUUUACAAGUACAACUCCCCACCUCCACCAGUCCAUUAUUAUUCACCACCAUAUACCUACAAGUCACCUCCUCCACCUGUGAAAACGGCACCAACUCCUUACUACUAUAAAUCACCUCCACCACCCGCACCGGUUUACAAGUACAACUCCCCACCUCCACCGGUCCAUUAUUAUUCACCACCAUAUACCUACAAGUCACCUCCUCCACCUGUGAAAACGGCACCAACUCCUUACUACUAUAAAUCACCUCCACCACCCGCACCGGUUUACAAGUACAACUCCCCACCUCCACCGGUCCAUUAUUAUUCACCACCAUAUACCUACAAGUCACCUCCUCCACCUGUGAAAACGGCACCAACUCCUUACUACUAUAAAUCACCUCCACCACCCGCACCGGUUUACAAGUACAACUCCCCACCUCCACCGGUCCAUUAUUAUUCACCACCAUAUACCUACAAGUCACCUCCUCCACCUGUGAAAACGGCACCAACUCCUUACUACUAUAAAUCACCUCCACCACCCGCACCGGUUUACAAGUACAACUCCCCACCUCCACCGGUCCAUUAUUAUUCACCACCAUAUACCUACAAGUCACCUCCUCCCCCUGUGAAAGUAGCACCAACUCCAUACUACUACAAAUCACCUCCACCUCCUGCACCGGUUUAUAAGUACAACUCACCUCCUCCACCAGUCCAUUAUUAUUCUCCUCCAUACUACUAUAAGUCACCACCCCCACCAUCACCAUCCCCUCCUCCACCUUAUUAUUACAAAUCUCCUCCUCCACCGAAAGAGAUUUCACACCCUCCAUACUACUAUAAGUCACCACCCCCACCAUCCCCAUCACCUCCUCCACCAUACUAUUACAAGUCCCCCCCUCCACCAUCACCAUCUCCACCACCACCAUACUAUUACAAGUCACCACCUCCACCAUCUCCAUCUCCUCCUCCACCAUACUAUUAUAAGUCACCACCUCCACCAUCCCCAUCCCCUCCUCCACCAUAUUACUAUAAGUCACCAGCUCCACCAUCCCCAUCCCCUCCUCCACCAUACUAUUAUAAGUCCCCACCUCCACCGUCACCAGCUCCACCACCACCUUACUAUUAUAAGUCACCACCCCCACCAUCACCAUCCCCUCCCCCUCCAUAUUAUUACAAAUCUCCUCCACCACCAUCCCCAUCACCACAACAUCCCUACUAUUACAAAUCACCUCCACCACCAUCGCCAUCACCACCACCUCCCUACUAUUACAAAUCACCUCCACCACCAUCACCAUCGCCUCCACCUCCAUACUACUACAAAAGCCCCCCUCCACCUUCUCCCUCUCCUCCUCCCCCAUAUUACUACAAAUCUCCACCACCACCAUCACCAUCACCACCCCCUCCCUACUAUUACAAAUCACCUCCACCACCGUCACCAUCACCGCCACCUCCUUACUAUUACAAAUCUCCCCCACCUCCAUCUCCAUCUCCACCACCUCCUUAUCACUAUCAAAGUCCUCCUCCACCAUCUCCCAUUUCUCAUCCUCCCUACUACUACAAAUCCCCUCCACCACCGUCUCCAUCUCCUCCACCUCCGUACCAUUACGUGAGUCCUCCCCCACCAGUAAAGUCUCCUCCACCAUCAGUUUACGUUUAUGCUUCUCCACCACCACCCAUCUACCAUUAAUCUCGGAACACCAAAGCACCAUUGAUGAUAAAUCA